CCCUUAGAUGUUCUGGGCCGCACGCGCGCUACAAUGAUGAAUUCAACGAGUUUAUAACCUUGGUUGAAAAGCCUGGGUAAUCUUUUGAACUUUCGUCGUGAUGGGGCUAGACCCUUGCAAUUAUUGGUCUCCAACGAGGAAUUCCUAGUAAACGCAAGUCAUCAGCUUGCAUUGAUUACGUCCCUGCCCUUUGUACACACCGCCCGUCGCACCUACCGAUUGAAUGGUCCGGUGAAAUCUUCGGAUUGAGACUUUGUUUUCUUCACGGAAAACGCUGUUUUAAAAAGUUGAUUAAACCUUACCAUUUAGAGGAAGGUGANGUCGUAACA
rnacentral:rRNA from 1 species